rnacentral:rRNA from 1 species
UACGGAAGGCAGCAGUGGGGAAUAUUGCACAAUGGGCGCAAGCCUGAUGCAGCCAUGCCGCGUGUAUGAAAAAGGCCUUCGGGUUGUAAAGUACUUUCAGUCGUGAGGAAGGUGUUAAGGUUAAUAACCUUAGCAAUUGACGUUAGCGACAGAAGAAGCACCGGCUAACUCCGUGCCAGCAGCCGCGGUAAUACGGAGGGUGCGAGCGUUAAUCGGAAUUACUGGGCGUAAAGGGCACGCAGGCGGUUAAUUAAGUUGGAUGUGAAAUCCCCGGGCUUAACCUGGGAAUGGCAUCCAAGACUGGUUAGCUAGAGUCUUGUAGAGGGGGUAGAAUUCCAUGUGUAGCGGUGAAAUGCGUAGAGAUGUGGAGGAAUACCGGUGGCGAAGGCGGCCCCUGGACAAAGACUGACGCUCAUGUGCGAAAGCGUGGGGAGCGAAACAGGGAUUAGAUACC